rnacentral:rRNA from 1 species
GCGAACGCUGGCGGCGUGGAUAAGGCAUGCAAGUCGAGCGAUCUCCGCAAGGAGAUAGCGGCAAACGGGUGAGUAACGCGUAAGCAAUCUGCCCUGAAGUGUGGGAUAACUUCUCGAAAGAGAGGCUAAUACCGCAUAUUCCUCCGAGGUUGCAUAAUCUUGGAUGGAAAGGUGGCGAACCGCAAGGUGCUACCGCUUCAGGAGGAGCUUGCGUUCCAUCAGCUAGUUGGUAGGGUAACGGCCUACCAAGGCGUCUGACGGAUAGCUGGCCUUAGAGGGUGGUCAGUCACACUGGGACUGAGACACUGCCCAGACUCCUACGGGAGGCUGCAGUCGAGAAUCUUUGGCAAUGGGCGAAAGCCUGACCAUGCGACGCCGCGUGCGGGGUGAAGGCUUUCGGGUCGUAAACCGCUGUUACGAGGGAAGAAGGCUGCUAGGGUGAACAAUCCUGGCAGUUUGACGG